UACGUAGGGAGCAAGCGUUGUCCGGAAUCAUUGGGCGUAAAGCGCGCGUAGGCGGCCCUGUAAGUCCGUUGUGAAAGUCAAAGGCUCAACCUUUGAAAGCCGAUGGAUACUGCAGGGCUAGAGUCCGGAAGAGGCGAGUGGAAUUCCUGGUGUAGCGGUGGAAUGCGCAGAUAUCGUAAGGAAGACCAGUGGCGAAGGCGGGUCUCUGGACAGUUCCUGACGCUGAGGCACGAAGGUCAGGGGAGCAAACGGG
rnacentral:rRNA from 1 species